rnacentral:misc_RNA from 1 species
UCCGGUUUGGCACCGGCAGUCUCCGAUGAGUCCCCGGCAUAACUCGCUGGCAACAUCGGACAGGGGUUGCGCUCGUUGCGCCACUUAAGGCAACACCUCACGGCACGAGCUGACGACAGCCAUGCAGCACCUGUGCACGGGCUCCGAAGAGGGCUCGCUGUUUCCAGCAAGUUUCCCAUGCAUGUCAAGCCUAGGUAAGGUUCUGCGCGUUGCGUCGAAUUGAACCACAUGCUCCACCGCUUGUGCGGGCCCCCGUCAAUUCCUUUGAGUUUCAGCCUUGCGGCCGUACUCCCCAGGCGGGGUACUUCCUGCGUUAGCGCCGGCACCCAAGGGGUCGCUCCCCCAGGCACCUAGUACCCAUCGUUUACGGCGUGGACUAC